rnacentral:rRNA from 1 species
UAAACUAGGAUUAGAUACCCUAUUAUACGAGCCGUAAAACCCCAUAAACACCUGAGAACUACGAACUAAAGUUUAAAACUCAAAGGACUUGGCGGUUUUUUAGAUCUUCCUGGAGGAGCUUGCUAUCUAACCGAUAACCCCCGAAAGACCUCACCAGCUUUUGAAAAUUCAACUUGUAUACCAUCGUCGUCAGUCUACCUCUCAAGAGAAGUAUACCAAACGGUAAUCAGACCCAGCACGUCAGAUCGAGGUGCAGUUAAUAGGCUGGGGAUAAGUGAGCUACAAUACUACAUCUACAGGAACAGGCCCCCCACCACAACUUUGGAUUAUCCAAUGAAAAAAGAUAAGAAACAGGAUUCAGCAGUAAUAACUACUAGAAAAUAGCUAUGAAGCAACCCAAGCUCUAAAAUACGCACACAUCGCCCGUCGGCUCUUA